UACGUAGGGUGCAAGCGUUGUCCGGAAUUAUUGGGCGUAAAGAGCUCGUAGGCGGCUAGUCGCGUCGGCUGUGAAAACCUGGGGCUCAACCCCGGGCCUGCAGCCGAUACGGGCUAGCUAGAAUUCGGUAGGGGAGACUGGAAUUCCUGGUGUAGCGGUGAAAUGCGCAGAUACCAGGAGGAACACCGGUGGCGAAGGCGGGUCUCUGGGCCGAUAUUGACGCUGAGGAGCGAAAGCGUGGGGAGCGAACAGG
rnacentral:rRNA from 1 species